rnacentral:rRNA from 1 species
AACGAACGCUGGCGGCAUGCCUAACACAUGCAAGUCGAACGAGACCUUCGGGUCUAGUGGCGCACGGGUUCGUAACGCGUGGGAACCUGCCCUUAGGUUCGGAAUAACUCCCCGAAAGGGGUGCUAAUACCGGAUCAUGUCUUCGGACCAAAGAUUUAUCGCCUUUGGUUGGUCCCGCGUUGGAUUAGCUAGUUGGUAGGGUAAAAGCUUACCAAGGCGACGAUCCAUAGCUGGUCUGAGAGGAUGAUCAGCCACACUGGGACUGAGACACGGCCCAGACUCCUACGGGAGGCAGCAGUGGGGAAUAUUGGACAAUGGGCGAAAGCCUGAUCCAGCAAUGCCGCGUGAGUGAUGAAGGCCUUAGGGUUGUAAAGCUCUUUUACCCGGGAUGAUAAUGACAGUACCGGGAGAAUAAGCCCCGGCUAACUCCGUG